UACAGAGGUCCCAAGCGUUGUUCGGAUUCACUGGGCGUAAAGGGUGCGUAGGUGGCGAGGUAAGUCGGAUGUGAAAGCUCGGAGCUCAACUCCGAAAUGGCAUUGGAAACUACCUUGCUUGAGGGUUGGAGGGGGGACUGGAAUGCUUGGUGUAGCAGUGAAAUGCGUAGAUAUCAAGCGGAACACCAGUGGCGAAGGCGAGUCCCUGGACAACUCCUGACACUGAUGCACGAAAGCUAGGGGAGCAAACAGG
rnacentral:rRNA from 1 species